rnacentral:rRNA from 1 species
CGGAAGUGCGGCGUGCUAUACAUGCAAGUCGAGCGGACAGAUGGGAGCUUGCUCCCUGAUGUCAGCGGCGGACGGGUGAGUAACACGUGGGUAACCUGCCUGUAAGACUGGGAUAACUCCGGGAAACCGGGGCUAAUACCGGAUGCUUGAUUGAACCGCAUGGUUCAAUUAUAAAAGGUGGCUUUUAGCUACCACUUACAGAUGGACCCGCGGCGCAUUAGCUAGUUGGUGAGGUAACGGCUCACCAAGGCAACGAUGCGUAGCCGACCUGAGAGGGUGAUCGGCCACACUGGGACUGAGACACGGCCCAGACUCCUACGGGAGGCAGCAGUAGGGAAUCUUCCGCAAUGGACAAAAGUCUGACGGAGCAACGCCGCGUGAGUGAUGAAGGUUUUCGGAUCGUAAAACUCUGUUGUUAGGGAAGAACAAGUACCGUUCGAAUAGGGCGGUACCUUGACGGUACCUAACCAGAAAGCCACGGCUAACUACGUGCCAGCAGCCGCGGUAAUACGUAGGUGGCAAGCGUUGUCCGGAAUUAUUGGGCGUAAAGCGCGCGCAGGCGGUUUCUUAAGUCUGAUGUGAAAGCCCCCGGCUCAACCGGGGAGGGUCAUUGAAAACUGGGGAACUUGAGUGCACAAUAGGAUAUGUAAUCCACGAGUAUCGUUGAAUUGCUUAUAUAUUUGUAUGAUCUCUAUUGAGAAAGGCGAUCCUCUGUUCUUUAAUUGACUCUAUGCUCUUAACUUAGUAAUA